CGCGGUWAUACAGAGGGUGCAAGCGUUUAUYGGAAUUACUGGGCGUAAAGCGCGCGUAGGCGGUUUAUUAAGUUGGAUGUGAAAGCCCCGGGCUCAACCUGGGAUGGUCAUUCAAAACUGGUAGACUAGAAUGUGAUAGAGGACAGUGGAAUUCCUAGUGUAGCGGUGAAAUGCGUAGAUAUUAGGAGGAACAUCAGUGGCGAAGGCGACUGUCUGGGUUAACAUUGACGCUGAGGUGCGAAAGCGUGGGUAGCGAACGGGAUUAGAUACCCCGGUAGUCCACGCCGUAAACGAUGAGAACUAGAUGUUGGUUUCAUAAAASASAUUAGUAUCGUAGCUAACGCGUUAAGUUCUCCGCCUGGGGAGUACGGCCGCAAGGUUAAAACUCAAAGGAAUUGACGG
rnacentral:rRNA from 1 species